UACGUAGGGUGCAAGCGUUGUCCGGAAUUAUUGGGCGUAAAGAGCUCGUAGGCGGUUUGUCGCGUCUGCUGUGAAAACUCGGGGCUUAACUCCGGGCCUGCAGUGGGUACGGGCAGACUAGAGUGCGGUAGGGGAGACUGGAAUUCCUGGUGUAGCGGUGAAAUGCGCAGAUAUCAGGAGGAACACCGGUGGCGAAGGCGGGUCUCUGGGCCGUAACUGACGCUGAGGAGCGAAAGUGUGGGGAGCGAACAGG
rnacentral:rRNA from 1 species